AACGAACGCUGGCGGCGUGCUUAACACAUGCAAGUCGAACGAGAAAACUCCCUUCGGGGGGCGAGUAAAGUGGCGCACGGGUCCGUAACACGUGGAUAAUCUACCUUCGAGUGUGGGACAACCCGUCGAAAGAUGGGCUAAUACUGCAUAAGACCACAGGUUCUUCGGAACCAGCGGUCAAAGGUGGCCUCUACCUGUAAGCCAUCGCUUGAAGAUGAGUCCGCGCACCAUUAGCUAGUUGGUAGGGUAACGGCCUACCAAGGCAAAGAUGGUUAGCUGGUCUGAGAGGACGACCAGCGACACUGGAACUGAGACACGGUCCAGACUCCUACGGGAGGCAGCAGUGGGGAAUAUUGGACAAUGGGGGAAACCCUGAUCCAGCAACGCCGCGUGAGUGAUGAAGGCCCUCGGGUCGUAAAGCUCUGUCAGAGGGAACGAAUAAGGGUGACCUAAUACGUCAUCUGAUGACGGUACUCUCAAAGGAAGCACCGGCUAACUCUGUGCCAGCAGCCGCGGUAAGACAGAGGGUGCAAGCGUUGUUCGGAAUCACUGGGCGUAAAGCGCGCGUAGGCGGCUUGGUCAGUCGGAUGUGAAAGCCCCGGGCUCAACUUGGGAAUUGCAUUCGAAACUGCCGAGCUAGAGUAUGGGAGAGGGAAGUGGAAUUUCCGGUGUAGAGGUGAAAUUCGUAGAUAUUGGGAAGAACACCGGUUGCGAAGGCGGCUACCUGGACCGGUACUGACGCUGAGGUGCGAAAGCGUGGGGAGCAAACAGGAUUAGAUACCCUGGUAGUCCACGCCGUAAACGAUGGAUACUCGGUUUUAGAGGGAAUCGACCCCUUUUGAGCCCAAGCUAACGCGUUAAGUAUCCCGCCUGGGGAGUACGGUCGCAAGAUUAAAACUCAAAGGAAUAGACGGGGACCCACACAAGCGGUGGAGCAUGUGGUUUAAUUCGACACUAAACGGGGAACCUUACCAAGGCUUGACAUCUCCGGAACAUUGCAGAAAUGCGAUGGUGCCGUAAGGAACCGGAUGACAGGUGCUGCAUGGUCGUCGUCAGCUCGUGCCUUGAGGUGUUCGGUUAAGUCCGUAAACGAGCGCAACCCAUGUCCUGUGUUGCAUUUUUCACAGGAGACUGCCGGCUCCAAGUCGGAGGAAGGUAUGGAUGACGUCAGAUCAGCAUGGCCCUUAUGCCUUGGGCCACACACGUGCUACAAUGGCCGGUACAAUGGGCAGCCAACCCGUAAGGGGGAGCCAAUCCCAUCAAAGCCGGUCCAAGUUCGGAUUGAGGGCUGCAAUUCGCCCUCAUGAAGUUGGAAUCGCUAGUAAACGCGAAUCAGACAUGUCGCGUUGAAUAUGUUCCUGGGUCUUGUACUCACCGCCCGUCAUAUCAUGAAAGGUGGGGGUACCCGAAGUCGCCUUAGUCCUUCGGGACGGGUGCCUAAGGUAAACUCACUGAUUGGGAUA
rnacentral:rRNA from 1 species